UUAAUCAUUCUGGCAGUUCUAGAAUAGUUAGGGACCAAAAUUCUGGUUAUUAAUUGUCAGGCUUACAUUCAGAGUGAUUGGUGGUUGCAGUCACUGUACUGUCAAAACUUCAUAGCUAGCUAUCUGAAGGCUGGCAUCUCAUAAAAGUCUUACAAAGUAACCAACUGAAUGGAGAAAUCAUGCUGUGAACCUUGAAAUGAAAGACAAGAAUGAAACUCAGGUCAUUAGGCAACUGAAGGUGGAACAUGGAAUAUGUGAUAAAUAGUAAAGGAGCAAUGAACGAUAGAAUAUGUAAGCAUGCAAUAUGAUGGGGAAGACUGGACAAAACUGCUAACUAUCAGAAUAACUAUUGGAAGGAACUAGUCAAAACAAUACUGUAAACUUAACAAUAAAUUCUUCUUGAUAGCAGA